UUUGCUCGAGACGGAACCCACGUUCUGCUCUGUUGCUGCUGGGGGUAAGAACGUUGCCCAGUGGCUGGUGGAAAUGAAGGACACUAAGGGGCGAGGUGAAGAACACUGAGCCACUGGCUGGGUGGUCGGAUUUUGUUUGUUAUUGUAAAUAGUUCACUGUUCCCCUCUACCUGGACCGAGACCUUGAGUGCAUUGUAGAGGCUUGUGUGUGUUGAGGACCCUCAGAGCUAUAUUGUCUGUAGUCUAUAAGACUACUGGUAGGCAGUUCUGAGGCGAGACACCAGACUAACAUCGGUCCAUUCCCAAACAAAAUACGUUUUUUUUUAAAAAGUUUAAAAAGAGGAGACAUUAAAAUAUACAAAUAUAAAUCAAACAUGAUUUAUCAACACAUCUUCAGGUGAAAACUCAACUUCUUGGUAGAGCUGAUGUUUUUCUCGACAGCAGUAGCUAGAACACAUAGGUAAAACAAGGUAUGACUAGCUUACCUUUUGCAUACAUUUCUGUCCACAUUUCGGGUCAGUGGCCCAGAUGCACUGGGCUACACACACCCCGUAUAUUAGAGGAAUUGUGGUGUGUUAUUUUGUGUGUAGAGAUUGCUGACAUUCAUUUAAUGUUUACUGGAUUUACAUUGCAAUAAUUAUCUUGCAUUUCAUCCUGUUUCCCUAUGUAUACUCUGGUUCAUCAUUAAAACUCCUAGACUGGGCUUCUGUUGCUGUCAUCACCAUUUAGACCUGGUGCUCAGAGCACAUGGCUACUUAAUAUGCAUUGUUGACACAUCCCUGUCAACUCCUCCUCUCACCCAGCAAAACCCCCCAUUUCCCCUCCUCCUUCCACAGAGAAGAAUGGGCAAUAUCUUACUUGGUGUGGCAAACGUGUCUAUGUAAACUGAAUUUAACUACAAAUAAAAUAAUAAUCACCCUAAUCCAACCCAUAACCCCCCCACUGCUGUCCUCCUCCCUCCUAGCAGACCUAUCAAGCAAACGUAAGUUCCUUUAUAUGCAUCUAAUACGGUUAUGCUGUCACUUGUCACUGCACUCAUUAGUCAUGAUAGUUGUUUUUUUCUUGCCUCCUAAGAUGGAAAAUACAAGGUUCCGUUUCAUGCCCUCACAGGAGUUGGUCCUCAAGUCCAAACCCCAGGCAGUAAAAGUGGCCGCUGACGGCCCCCCUGCUUCUGGUGCUCAGGGCCCUUCUGUGAGGACUAAGAAGUGGGAGGAAGUGGAGGCAGAGGAUCGAGCCCGCGUCGUCUCCGAGGGAGGUGACCCCGGUGCAGAGAUGGUCAUCCUGAGCCGGUGCACGGUUCGACAAGUACCGGGGUCAGACCUUCAAAUGGAUGAUGGAGAACGACGUGGGCUGCAUGGUGCACGUGGUAACAGUGCAUAAGAAGGAGAGCGAGCGAGAGGGCAGCGUUUCCCAGCAUCCCCUGAUGGGCCAACAAGGAGGCCUUGACUCGCUACUCGUGCGCCUAUCCGGCCUUCGCUGAGGCGGUCAGGUUCAACCGGACGCACGAGGAAGCUUAAGUCCUGUCCUCCCAGCCAGAUAUCAGGAGCUUGAGGACGCAGACACCCCGUUAUCCUCAGAGUGCGAUGGCCGCCUUGAUUGACUACAUUCAGCGCAGAGACCAGGAGGGGUAGCUGCUGUGGCCAGGCCCGCCAGCACCACCCCCGUCAGUAACACCCCCGUCAGUAACAACCGGCCCAACAGUGCGGCUACGUACCAGAGAGCAAAUGCAAUGCAUUUCCAGGCAUUCCUGUUGGAUGGACUGAUGAGGUGGAACGAGGACCAUGCGCAGGCGGCAGUGGAGGUGCCGCUGCUCUCCUAGUGGCCACCUGCAGCACAUCCUUAACCUUAGC